CAGUAGCCACGGGAAUACGUAGGUGGCAAGCGUUGUCCGGAGUUAUUGGGCGUAAAGCGCGCGCAGGCGGAUCAGUUAGUCUGUCUUAAAAGUUCGGGGCUUAACCCCGUGAUGGGAUGGAAACUGCUGAUCUAGAGUAUCGGAGAGGAAAGUGGAAUUCCUAGUGUAGCGGUGAAAUGCGUAGAUAUUAGGAAGAACACCAGUGGCGAAGGCGACUUUCUGGACGAAAACUGACGCUGAGGCGCGAAAGCCAGGGGAGCGAACGGGAUUAGAUACCCCUGUAGUCCCUGUCUCUUAUACA
rnacentral:rRNA from 1 species